AUGAUCACAGAGGGGCCGGAUCCCCUGUUCCCCACACAGACUCCACAGUUAAAAGACAGCUGCUUUUCAGCAUCACGGGUCCUUCAGAGUAUGCUGUCCACAGUUACAAUUGCACAUCCCAUGUUCAGACACCAGCCACAAGAGGCAAAAGAACCUUUUAGCUUUGCAGCAGAAUCCUGCUCUGAGCAGGUGCUGACUAUUCACUUGUCUCUCGCCCUGGAACAGAUGAUACAUUUGGCCAAGCAGAUCCACCACAGACACAAAUCUCUAUAGACUGUGCUGGGGAAGUUGACAGUUACCUCAGAUGUGAACACCACAUUGUAGACACUUAAAGUGACCUGAAGUCAUUAUUUCAGGUAAUAUUUUUAACAAAAAUAAUCUAAAAUUUCAAAGAGAAACAAUAAAUGAAGCCAAACAAAAUGUACCUCUUAUAUGAAACCCUUCACUAAACUGAGAACAUCUCCUCUGGUUUUGAAUUUGCAAUCUACAUAUGGAAAUAUCACGAAAGGAAGUACACCAUCCUAAUGGUUAGUUUAUCAGAAAAUGCUUGCUAUCUAUAGGCUUAUUUAAGUUCUGUGUCAAAGAUUUAAAGGAUCAUUUGCAAAGUUUAGAACUUUGCAAUUUCAUGGCAAACUAGUUAAUUCUGGCAUGGCCUGUAAUUUUAUAACCAUAAACUCUAGAGACCAAAGGCAACUCUAAAAUAUACUUCCACUAAAUUAACUAGAAAAAAUGUCGCUGGAAUCACUAUAUAUACCCAAGCUUUAGUCUCAAAUGAUGAUUUUAACCAUAUAUUAGUCAUGAUUUACAUGCUGGCUGUUUGGCAUGCAGCAUCUGGAUCCAUUUUGUUCUGUGCUAAGGAGAUGCAGAGAUGACAACAUGACCAUAAUCUCCAAUUUAAUGUAGUUUUUAGGUAUGUUUCUGUUGCAUUCACGGAUGUGCUGUGAUAAGGACAGUAACUGUGAUUCUAUGGACAAGUGAAUCUGUGUCAACCAGCUUGUCUAGCAUAGGAAGAGAAAUCAUUUGCAUGUGCCUGUAAAGACAGCAAAGGAUGCUUGUAAAGAUUGUAUGUAAAUUGUUAAGGUAAAGACUUGCAAAGAAUGCAAAUUUCUAUAACAUUUAUCGUUCUUAAGAAAAGCUUUAUUAGUUGCUCAUGGCAUAAUGCCACAAGAAAGACAAAUAAAAUAUCUUAAGAAGUAAUACUAAAAUAAUGGCCUGAAGAAAGAAAUAUUGAAAUACUUUGGUUGCUAAAAAUGUGGAGACCUUUUGUAAAAAGGAACAGAAGAAUUUCCACAUGUAUCAAGCAUUAUUUCUAUUCAUUAGCCAACGGCAAUUUAGCAGCACUAUUUUCGAAAAACAUCCAUACUUAAAAGUUAUUCUGUAGCAGCAUAUUCC
rnacentral:lncRNA from 1 species